GCUGUUGUUGCAGGGCGGCAGGGCGGCCCAGACAGGACGCCUUGCCUCCUUUCUCUCCUACAACCGCUUUUUAAAAAUCUGUUUCUGUUUUUGCUGGUUCCCCGGCGAGUCGGGCCCUGCCGUGGCCCCUGAGGAGGGGGCGGCGAUAGCGCGAUGCGGCUGUGACCGCGACUGCGGCGUCCAGGGGGACCCGGUGUGCGGCUCCGACGGGGUGGUCUACGCCAGCGCCUGCCGCCUGCGGGAGGCCGCCUGCCGCCGGGCCGCGCCCCUGGAGCCCGCGCCUCCCAGCUGCUGCGCCCUCGAGCAGCCGCUGCGGGCCUCGGCGUCCUCCACCUACGGGGAUGACCUGGCUUCUGUGGCCCCGAGGCAUUUACAGCAGGACGUGAAGCUGAAUGGAGCCGGCCUUGAGGUGGUGGACUCAGACCCUGAGCCUGAAGGGGAGGCGGAGGACAGGUAGCAGCUGGGCCCAACCCAGAAAACAGAGACAUAGGCUCAAUAUCUCCCCACCUCCCUCCCCUACCAACCUCCCCCGACGACCUGCCUCGACCCCCGUCCCCCGCGCCCCGACCCCCCACAGGUAGUGGGAGUGACU
rnacentral:sRNA from 1 species